AGCGAACGCUGGCGGCAGGCCUAACACAUGCAAGUCGAACGAAGUCUUCGGACUUAGUGGCGGACGGGUGAGUAACACGUGGGAACGUGCCUUUAGGUUCGGAAUAACUCAGGGAAACUUGUGCUAAUACCGAAUGUGCCCUUCGGGGGAAAGAUAUAUCGCCUUUAGAGCGGCCCGCGUCUGAUUAGCUAGUUGGUGAGGUAAUGGCUCACCAAGGCUACGAUCAGUAGCUGGUCUGAGAGGAUGACCAGCCACAUUGGGACUGAGACACGGCCCAAACUCCUACGGGAGGCAGCAGUGGGGAAUCUUGCGCAAUGGGCGAAAGCCUGACGCAGCCAUGCCGCGUGGAUGAUGAAGGUCUUAGGAUUGUAAAAUCCUUUCACCGGUGAAGAUAAUGACUGCAGCCGGAGAAGAAGCCCCGGCUAACUUCGUGCCAGCAGCCGCCGUAACAC
rnacentral:rRNA from 1 species